ensembl:lncRNA
ACAGAAAAUUCUAAGGCGUGGAUUAACCUAGGAGGGUAUGGCCAUUUGCAUGGGAGAGACUGGAGAGAGAGAGAGAGACGAACAAUGGAGUAGUAAGGUUUGUGAAUUCAGCUUGAGUCAUUCUGUAUUGAUUACUCACACAGAGGAAAUGUGCACCGGCAGCAGCCAGUACUGCUCAUGCUGCCUUGCACUUUGUUUUCCGGAGACCAGAUCAUUUACUGAGUGGAGCUGAACAGUCUGUAAUUCUGAACACUCCUCCAGGAGAGUCACACUUCAGAGCAAGGCUCCCACAGAGGUGCUGUAGGUCAUGUGCCAAUCUACAAGCCACUUCCUGGCGUUGGGAUUGGUGACACUGAUGGCCCAUGGUGCUGCCCUUUCUGCUGUGUAGUUCUUGGAGAAAACGCGCCAUGUGAUCCUGGGAAGAGGACGCCAGUGGAAGGUGUCCUCAAUAAGAUAAGUCUUAUAAAAUAUAUAGAUUUAUGAUAAUUAAGACUGAGCUGGCAUGAAAGAAAUCCUAAUCAAUUGGCCAAGCAGCAUUUGUACCUAAUGUAAGUCUCUGUGUAGAGACAUACAUGGUCCCCUGAAGAAGGGGAAAGGGUCAAGAUCCCCUGAGCAAAUUGAGAGCAUGAGAAGAAGGGGGAGGGAGCUAUGAGAAUGAGACGGGAAGAAGAGGAAGGAUGCAGAGGUCAUGAGGUAGCAGAAAGGUUGAGCCUGGGGAAGAAUAGAAGAAAUGGUAUGUGAUAGGGUUUUUGUUGGGGGGUGGUGGUAGGGGAGGACAGGAGGGAGAAUCUUGUUUCUAAUUCAAAUAAAAAAAUCUGAAAAAAAUCUUAUUUUGCUAAUUCCACAGAUUCAGGAGAAAGACCACUGACCCAAGAAGACCACUGACCCAACUCAUGGCCAAAUGAAUCAGACUGUUUCUCUGUGAUCGAAAUGAACAACCAAAACUCAGAAUUUCUCUUGUUCUUAUGUUCUUCAUUCAUGCACCAUGAAGAAGAAAUUUCUCAGUGAGGAGAGAGUAGCAGUUACUGUGUAAGUGGGAGACCAUGGCUUGCUGCAUCUCUGGAGUAAACUCUCAGAAAUGUUGGGUGCUGCUUUGACGUACACAAAGAAUGGGAAAGGAAAGCAGCCCUCUGUGAGGAACGUGGAUGGAUAGUUUGGCAGAUGCUUCAACUGCUGUGUGGCAAGGCCAAGAGGAAGGAAAAUAUAUUCCAUUUUGGAGAUGACAUUUUCAAGUUUCACAUUCUAAUUAUUAGACACUUUCUCACAGUGUUUGCACUGUUUCAUUUUUAGAUGAAAAAUGAUUUAACACCCCAGUGUUAGAACUCUUCAUGAUGACAUAUUAUGUUCAGCUUGGGUCAUUCAAGUUCAAAGGUCCAGAGGACUGGGAAGACUGCUGCAAAGUGGUGUCUUCUGGACACAAGGAUGUUGCACCAAUAAACUCACAGCAGCUGUGGAAGACUGAAUAUUGAGGAGGAGGUACAGGUGGUCCACAGCUACUGGAGAAGGAAGAGUGGGUUUUCUUCAGGGAUGGGGACACUGGUAGGUUGCCGAUGCUCCAGUGGUUAUUCAAAGUACAAGAAGAGCACAUGAAUUUGAGAGCGAGAUGUUUGUGUGAGGAACUGAGGAGUUGUUGGGAAUAGGGUUGGUUAUGAUGAAAUGAGUUGUAUUUGGGUGAAGAUAAUAGCUACUUCCUGUGGGAGGAAAUGUGGAAGAACACUAGGCCAUUUUGCCAAUUCUUUUCCUGAAUUCAUAUGCCUUUCAUGAAAUCAAAGAUUAUUUUGAAAAAGAAGACAUAAUAAAAGCAUAGACAUAAUAAAACAAUGUAAUAUAUAAAAUGAAAUAGAGUAGUUGAUUUUCCUUUUUCUCUAGCAUUUGGUGUUUUUUUAACAGUAAGUGAACUGAGACCAACAGAGCAUUUCUCACCAUGACUGGGCUCCCUGGCAGAUGUUAGAGGGGUACUGGGUGGUGGCUGCAUGCUGUUCUUGUUAUCUGAAUGCUGAAGCCCUCCCCAGUCCUGACCAUCCUUCUUGCUCUUGGGGAAUGCUAGCCAUGAAUCUGCACUUAGAUGAAGGCCUUCACCUACUGAGACAACAAGCUGACAUAGUUUUGCAAGGUGUGUGUGUGUGUGUGUGUGUGUGUGUGUGUGUGUGUGUGUGUGUAAGUUUAUGAGGUCAGAAAUGCCAGGGUGUGUUAGUGUACUGACUGUAAUUGUUAGAUUUGAAAAAUGGGGUGAACCAAGUAAAAGAACAAAGAC